AGUUCUCGUUCGCCGUUUCUGUUGCUCUGCGCUUCACGUCGUUCACGUCUCGUCUGGUCUCGCCUCGCAUCGUCCGACGCCGGCGCGCUGCCGCUGCCUCAGUCUCUGCUGCGACGAGUACCACUGCAACUGAACCGCCGCCUUGUGUCAAAGUGAACAGCAAAUAUUAUUUUUUGGACACUUUGCUAUCAGGUCGACGCCGCGUCGCCCAGAGCCAAGAGGCGUCCUGCUCCUCGAUUGAUAUCAGCCCAAGCCGAGGCAGCCAAAGUCGAUUUAGAGUGUUUGCUCCUGCUGCAGCACAAACUCCAGCUCCAGCUCCAGCUCCAGCUCCAGGUGGUGGUGGCGGUCCCUCUGCCUGGUUCCGUACCCGUAUCCAUUGUCCGCAGUGACAGCUCAGUCUUUUGUGCCAGUUGUCGCAUUCGGGGCUUGGACCUGCCAUGGCUGCCAUCGGUCCAUUGUCUGCGGCGGCCAUUCAAACGGAGAGUGGUUCCAAUUGUGUAUAAUUGAAAUCGGGAAAGAACUCGACACAAAACAAAAUGAGAGAAAUAAAGGAGGAAAAGGAAAAAACUGGUUGUAAAUCAACUCGAGCCGGUUCGGGGUCGUUUGUUGCCAAAAAUAACAGAAUUAAUUAUAAUUAUGACAAAGAACAAGCGCUUCGACCUCGCCCCGAUUCCGAUUUCGAUCCCGAUCCCGACUCCGUCUACACCACCAUCUCCAUCCUCGUGUCCGUGACUUUAGAUGGCCCCCGCCGAGCGCGUUCGGGGGCUAAUUGUGAAUGUGGAUUACAAUUUCGCGUGUGCGUCCCCACUCCGAGGCCGAGGCAAAGAAAGAAAAGCCAAAAAAAUGAAUUUAAAAAUAUUUCUUCCUGGGAGUGCUCUUGCUUUGCGCUCUGUGGUCAGCCGUCACCGUUCUGCAGUGGAAGCCGCAGUGGAAGUGGAAUCGGAGACGGAGACGGAGACUCGCUCCAGGCCCCUUCCUGGACGAGAAUAUCGCGCUUGGCCGGCCUCUCGUGUGCGCUGGGCGUGACUUCAAUUAAAGUGAUUUGUAGCCUCCGUUUUUGACAUUCGAGACAUAUAUAGUAAGCCUGAUUCAUGGCGCAAGCAAAUUAUUUUCGUACACGGUCCUCUAACCCAACAAAGUUUCUAAGUCACGCACUGACCGACGAAAUCGUCUCUAAGGGGGUCGAUUGAAUUGGGGACCCCUACUGCUCCAGCCCCGGACAAAAUGCCGUCGGACUAAAGCAAAGAGCAGCAGCCCGGGCAGCAAAAAUGCGCCAUCAUGGCCUCGCAUAAACAUAAAGAAGAAGAACGUAUGAGAGAGAGAAAGAGAGAGAGAGAGAGAGAGCAGUCGUGGAAUGUGGUGAUUGCGAUACGCCGACGCUGACGUUGACAGCAGCGGCAGCCAUCAUGGAUGAGAGAAAAGAAAUAACGUCGCUCCUCUCGCUCUCGCUCUCGCUCUUGCUGCCGGUCUCAUUCUCGCUGGUGCCACAGCCAUGCUGCCAAGCUAACGCUGCCGCCAGUAAGUAAAUAUGCUGUUGGAGUGGUCCAACAGCUACCGGUUCUGGUCGUGCGCCGAUGUCGACAUCAAACAGACAGAGGAAGGACUUCCAGGACAAGAGCUUUCACGGAGCCCAAUGCCAGUUUGAUUCCUGUCCGACCCCUGGGGCGAGAAUGUCGCCAGGCUGCAGCUGUUCCAGCUCUUCCAGGUACCCCAGUCGGGACUCUGGACUCUCUCAUCUCUGUGUGUGCGUGUGUGGACUAGUGCGGUUGUGUGUUUUUAUGGCAUUUGUGGAUUAGGCCCAUAAAAACUACACUUCCCCACGGAGAUACGUAGCGCACUAACAAAGGAUGAAAAUUGGAAAAGUCCCGCAGCCACUCAACUGGUGAGUGAAAAUACUAAGUAAAGAACAGAAUAAGCAGAUGGGAUGCAUUCAUUUAACGAUCUUUUUCUGGUCUUGAGUUGUUUUUCCGAUUAAUUUCCUGAUUUAUAAUUUUCAUUUGUGCAAUUUACAAAACGGUGCAUCAUUAAUGCAAUUAAACCGCAAUAAACGCGGCCAAAUAAAACCAGGACAAAACACAGACAGACAGUCGACUGGAUAGAUGAAUUGGGCAGACAUUUGGCCUGCACUCGUAUAAAUUUUAUGAGUACUUUCGAAUCGACUCGUGAGCGAGUGUGGAUGGCACAGAGACCCACAUUUCGGAUAGAGCGCAGGGCAGGGAUGUUUAUGCGAAGGAAGUGACCUAUAAGCCCGACCGCAUCGGAGGAUUAAAAAUGAUAGCGUGAGAAGGCAUUUUGUAAUCGUCAUCCAAAUUACUUUCUAAAAACACUCAUUCCUUCCGACCGCUCAUCUGUGGAGAAGGGCAAGGCAACCGCAAGUCGAGUCAAACAAGCCGUAAACCGACGCCAUAAAAGUGUAUCAAAUUAGGGACUGAUACCGAUUCAGGAGAAUUCGUUUUACAACUACAACUAAAUGCUGAUACCAUAUAUCGUAGUUUUGAGUCCGAUUUUUGAAGUUCAACUCAAUUUUUAAACAAUAAUAUAAUGUCCCUCUUCUUUAUGGUUAGAAAUACACCAGCGAUUAUACAUAUUAUAACAGGCAUUCAGUAAACACGACGAAUACAUCUCUUUAUUCUCCUUAUUUUAUACAACCUGUGGCACUGGAGAUUACAACGGAGCUGUUUGUUUUAUGGUUUGUUCCGCUUUUGUUUAAGAAUCCGCACGCAAUCCCACCACCAGCUCAACUUAACUUAGCUCAACUCAACUCGUCCCGUCAAUUCCAUCCCUCUUUUUGAGGGAGCAACUCAAAAUAGUGCUUUAUUGCUGUAAAUGUUCUUUCAGUUAUUUAUUUUUUAUUUGCCACUGCUCUGCGAUCUCCGCACACCACCCUUCUCGCUCAGCCACCGUUACCCCAGUUUCAAAUUUUAUUAGUUUAUUACGAUUAUUAUCGUUUAAUGGGGCUCGUUUGCACCGCUGACGCUGACGCUCACUCGUUAUUGUUUUUUAGUAGUUGUAUGUUUGUAGUUCUUUCUGGUUGUUGUUGCUGCUGCUGCUGCUGCUGCUUCUGCCGGUGCUGUUGAGCAGAGCAAGGGCAACGUGUGAAGUUGUUUUAUUAUUUGUUUUGAUUAUCAAAAUGAACGUUUUACAUUUUUCCGGUCGUUGGGCGGACCACCUGCCCAUGGCCCAGAGCCCAUAGCCUAUGGCUGAAAAGCAGUAAAUCACUGCCCGCUGUGAGUGCUCCGUGAGUAUGUGCGAGUGCACCCAGUGGGUCCAGUGGAGAGGCCCGUGGGGCCAGACACUCACUCACUCAUUCGCACUCGGUGUAUGACCCAUAAACUUGAAACAAAGUGUGGCAAAAUGUUUAAUUUGGAAUUUAUGAGCAAUUAAUUUUAAAAUACCAUGCUGUCCGUUAACGCUGUUCCCCCACCCCGUCCCCGUCCCCGUCGCCGUCGGACAACAAACCAUAAAAGAUUCAGCAAAAAUUUGAUUAUUUAGCCACUCCGCUGAUUAAUCAUUAUUCAAUUGUUAACGCACUCCGCGAACAUGGAAUUUUGCAAUCCGAGCCAGGCAGGCAAAUUGGGCAACGGCUAUAAAACUAAUCGAAAACCAAUUUCAAUUGAAUUAUCGGGGUGGGUAGAAU